rnacentral:misc_RNA from 1 species
GUCGUACCCCUCAAGGGCUUCUUGAAGGAGGUGCCGACACGUCGUUUGUCGCUCGAUUUUGCCACUCUCGGUGCUACACGGGAC